UGCGUAGGCGGGCUAAUAAGUCAGUGGUGAAAUCUUUCGGCUCAACCGAGAAACUGCCAUUGAUACUGUUAGUCUUGAGUUCGGUUGAGGUAGGCGGAAUGUGUAAUGUAGCGGUGAAAUGCUUAGAUAUUACACAGAACACCAAUUGCGUAGGCAGCUUACUAGACCGACACUGACGCUGAGGCACGAAAGCGUGGGGAGCGAACAGGAUUAGAUACCCUGUAGUCC
rnacentral:rRNA from 1 species